rnacentral:rRNA from 1 species
GAUGAACGCUAGCGGCAGGCCUAAUACAUGCAAGUCGGACGGGAUUGAGAAGCUUGCUUUUCAUGAGAGUGGCGCACGGGUGCGUAACACGUAUGUAACCUACCUUAAUCAGGGGGAUAGCCUCUCGAAAGAGAGAUUAACACCGCAUAAAAUCAAUUUAUGGCAUCAUAGAAUGAUCAAAUAUUUAUAGGAUUAAGAUGGGCAUGCGGAACAUUAGCUAGUUGGUAAGGUAACGGCUUACAAAGGCUACGAUGUUUAGGGGAUCUGAGAGGAUGACCCCCCACACUGGUACUGAGACACGGACCAGACUCCUACGGGAGGCAGCAGUAAGGAAUAUUGGUCAAUGGGCGCAAGCCUGAACCAGCCAUGCCGCGUGCAGGAAGACGGCCCUACGGGUUGUAAACUGCUUUUGUACCGGAUUAAACCUUUGUAUGUAUACGAAGCUGAAUGUACGGUAAGAAUAAGGAUCGGCUAACUCCGUGCCAGCAGCCGCCGUAA